rnacentral:rRNA from 1 species
UACGUAGGGGGCUAGCGUUAUCCGGAAUUACUGGGCGUAAAGGGUGCGUAGGUGGUUUCUUAAGUCAGAGGUAAAGGCUACGGCUCAACCGUAGUAAGCCUUUGAAACUGGGAAACUUGAGUGCAGGAGAGGAGAGUGGAAUUCCUAGUGUAGCGGUGAAAUGCGUAGAUAUUAGGAGGAACACCAGUUGCGAAGGCGGCUCUCUGGACUGUAACUGACACUGAGGCACGAAAGCGUGGGGAGCAAACAGG